AAUCAACGCUGGCGGCGCGCUUAACACAUGCAAGUCGAACGAGAAAGGGAGCAAUCCUGAGUAAAGUGGCGUACUGGUGAGUAACACGUGGAUAUCUACCUCUUGGUGGGGAAUAACCUGGGGAAACCUGGGCUAAUACCGCAUAAGUUCGUGAGAAGAAAGGCGCAAGUCGCCGAGAGAGGAGUCCGCGGUCGAUUAGGUAGUUGGCAGGGUAAAAGCCUACCAAGCCGAAGAUCGAUAGCCGGCCUGAGAGGGCACACGGCCACACUGGCACUGAAACACGGGCCAGACUCCUACGGGAGGCAGCAGUGGGGAAUCUUGCACAAUGGGGAAACCCUGAUGCAGCGACGCCGCGUGAGCGAUGAAGCCCUUCGGGGUGUAAAGCUCUUUACCAGGGAUGAUAAUGACAGUACCUGGAGAAUAAGCUCCGGCUAACUCCGUGCCAGCA
rnacentral:rRNA from 1 species